ACGGGUGAGUAACGCGUGGGAAUCUACCGUACCCUACGGAAUAGCUCCGGGAAACUGGAAUUAAUACCGUAUACGCCCUACGGGGGAAAGAUUUAUCGGGGUAUGAUGAGCCCGCGUUGGGUUAGCUAGUUGGUGGGGUAAAGGCCUACCAAGGCGACGAUCCAUAGCUGGUCUGAGAGGAUGAUCAGCCACAUUGGGACUGAGACACGGCCCAAACUCCUACGGGAGGCAGCAGUGGGGAAUAUUGGACAAUGGGCGCAAGCCUGAUCCAGCCAUGCCGCGUGAGUGAUGAAGGUCUUAGGAUUGUAAAGCUCUUUCACCGAUGAAGAUAAUGACGGUAGUCGGAGAAGAAGCCCCGGCUAACUUCGUGCCAGCAGCCGCGGUAAUACGAAGGGGGCUAGCGUUGUUCGGAAUUACUGGGCGUAAAGCGCACGUAGGCGGAUAUUUAAGUCAGGGGUGAAAUCCCAGAGCUCAACUCUGGAACUGCCUUUGAUACUGGGUAUCUUGAGUAUGGAAGAGGUAAGUGGAAUUCCGAGUGUAGAGGUGAAAUUCGUAGA
rnacentral:rRNA from 1 species